rnacentral:tRNA from 1 species
GGCUGCAUAGCUCAGUUGGUAGAGCAACGGAUUGAAAAUCCGUGUGUCCCUGGUUCGAUUCCAGGUGCAGCCA